rnacentral:snoRNA from 1 species
AUGCUGCCAAUUAAUCUGACCAUGCUGCCUUCCCUAUGGUGCCCCAUGUGUAAUGGCUGCCAACAGCAGCAUCCUGGGUGGUGUAUGCAACCUGUUGCUUAUACAGGGCUGCCCUAAGGGACCCUGGAGACAGCC